GCUCUCAGUCCAAGUCUCCCUGGCACAAUGACGGCCCUUUCUCUCAAGCCCUCUCCUUUCACUGAGACCCUCUGUGGGACAGUCUGUGCUGAAUCUCAGGUGAACAAAGGAGGGCAGAACUGAAGACAAUCAAAGCCCCAGCAUUCAAGAUAGGCAUCUCUCACCUUGAAGUCUUUUAAAAACUCCAAAGGGGCAAAAAUAAAAGCCCAAAGACAAA
rnacentral:lncRNA from 1 species